AGAAUCAACGCUGGCGGCGUGCCUAACACAUGCAAGUCGAACGAGAAAGUGGAGCAAUCCAUGAGUAAAGUGGCGCACGGGUGAGUAACACGUGACUAACCUACCCUUGAGUGGGGAUAACCUAGGGAGACCUGGGCUAAUACCGCAUAACACCUUCGGGUCAAAGGAGCAAUUCGCUUAAGGAGGGGUCGCGGCCGAUUAGUUAGUUGGCGGGGUAAUGGCCCACCAAGACUGUGAUCGGUA
rnacentral:rRNA from 1 species